GCCCGGGCUCGAUGCACGGGUGGCCUGUGAAUCUGGUCAGGGCUUGACCGCAGCAGCCAUAAGCAGCCGUCGCCCGGUGCCGUCGGUGUCCUGGGCACC
rnacentral:SRP_RNA from 1 species